rnacentral:rRNA from 1 species
GAUGAACGCUGGCGGCGUGCCUAAUACAUGCAAGUCGAGCGAACGGACGAGAAGCUUGCUUCUCUGAUGUUAGCGGCGGACGGGUGAGUAACACGUGGAUAACCUACCUAUAAGACUGGGAUAACUUCGGGAAACCGGAGCUAAUACCGGAUAAUAUUUUGAACCGCAUGGUUCAAUAGUGAAAGACGGUCUUGCUGUCACUUAUAGAUGGAUCCGCGCUGCAUUAGCUAGUUGGUAAGGUAACGGCUUACCAAGGCAACGAUGCAUAGCCGACCUGAGAGGGUGAUCGGCCACACUGGAACUGAGACACGGUCCAGACUCCUACGGGAGGCAGCAGUAGGGAAUCUUCCGCAAAGGGCGAAAGCCUGACGGAGCAACGCCGCGUGAGUGAUGAAGGUCUUCGGAUCGUAAAACUCUGUUAUUAGGGAAGAACAAAUGUGUAAGUAACUAUGCACGUCUUGACGGUACCUAAUCAGAAAGCCACGGCUAACUACGUG